rnacentral:rRNA from 1 species
UACAUGUGGGGCGAGCGUUGUUCGGAAUUACUGGGCCUAAAGGGUGCGUAGGCGGCAUGCCAAGUCGCUGGUGAAAGUUCGCGGCCCAACCGCGAAAUGGCCGGUGAUACUGGCGUGCUUGAGUGCGUGAGGGGUCGGGGGAACGAGUGGUGUAGCGGUGAAAUGCGCAGAUAUCAGGAGGAACACCGGUGGCGAAGGCGGGUCUCUGGGCCGAUACUGACGCUGAGGAGCGAAAGCAUGGGUAGCGAACAGG